rnacentral:misc_RNA from 1 species
AACGCACAUUGCGCCCGCCAGCAUUCUGGCGGGCAUGCCUGUUCGAGCGUCAUUUCAACCCUCAAGCUCUGCUUGGUGUUGGGGCCCUACAGCUGAUGUAGGCCCUCAAAGGUAGUGGCGGACCCUCCCGGAGCCUCCUUUGCGUAGUAACUUUACGUCUCGCACUGGGAUCCGGAGGGACUCUUGCCGUAAAACCCCCAAUUUUCCAAAGGUUGACCUCGGAUCAGGUAGGAAUACCCGCUGAACUUAA